UCUAUCCCGGCUCCCCUUUUCUUGGAUCCAGCCCAGUAUCCCUGGAUUCCCUUAAAAUCCAGAAGUCAAUGGAUCUCUGUUUUCAACACAAUUAACAAUUGACCCCUCCCCAGGUGAACGAUUGCAAACACCCAUCUCCCUCUGAGUUAAGAAAUCUCAUCGCCGGCCGCAGUGCCUACCCCUUUUUUGAAACUGUGACCCCUUGUUCCAGUUUCCUUAGCCAGAAGGCUGUUGACCCUGGACGAGUUUCACAGGCCAAAUGGUUGCUCAAAAAAGAUUGUGGUGAGACACUGCAAAAAUCAGCCCAGGCAGAAGACUGUUCACAAAUUCUCUCAGCUUGACAAUGGUCAAGUUGGAAAGUGAUUUUAUGGAAAUAUAAACAAAUCCCCACACCUCUUAGUUCUGAACAGAUAUGGCCUUCUCUACCUUAGUGAUUCUCCGGAGCAUCUGUAAUGAAACCUCAGGCUAACUGGGCUCUGCUUCAUUCAGCUUCCUUUCAGUGUCAAUGCACUGAAACAUUAGAACAGUUGACAAAUGGAGCACACAGCUGCAGCAUGUCAUUGAAAAUGCUCCAGAGCUUAAUGGGCAAAUUUCUGGAAGAUCUACAUU